AUUAGAUACCCGUGUAGUCCCAGCCGUAAACAAUGUGCGUUAGGUGUGUCGGUAACCACGCGUUACUGAUGCGCCGAAGAGAAAUCGUGAAACGCACCACCUGGGAAGUACGGUCGCAAGGCUGAAACUUAAAGGAAUUGGCGGGGGAGCACCACAACAGGUGGAGCCUGCGGUUUAAUUGGAUUCAACGCCGGACAUCUCACCGGAUAAGACAGCUGAAUGAUUGUCAAUCUGAAGGUUUUACAGGACUAGCUGAGAGGAGGUGCAUGGC
rnacentral:rRNA from 1 species